GAUGAACGCUGGCGGCGUGCCUAAUACAUGCGAGUCGAGCGAACGGACGAGAAGCUUGCUUCUCUGAUGUUAUCGGCGGACGGGUGAGUAACACGUGGAUAACCUACCUAUAAGACUGGGAUAACUUCGGGAAACCGGAGCUAAUACCGGAUAAUAUUUUGAACCGCAUGGUUCAAAAGUGAAAGACGGUCUUGCUGUCACUUAUAGAUGGAUCCGCGCUGCAUUAGCUAGUUGGUAAGGUAACGGCUUACCAAGGCAACGAUGCAUAGCCGACCUGAGAGGGUGAUCGGCCACACUGGAACUGAGACACGGUCCAGACUCCUACGGGAGGCAGCAGUAGGGAAUCUUCCGCAAUGGGCGAAAGCCUGACGGAGCAACGCCGCGUGAGUGAUGAAGGUCUUCGGAUCGUAAAACUCUGUUAUUAGGGAGGAACAUAUGUGUAAGUAACUGUGCACAUCUUGACGGUACCUAAUCAGAAAGCCACGGCUAACUACGUG
rnacentral:rRNA from 1 species